rnacentral:tRNA from 1 species
UAGGUGAAUGCUUGUUGGUUUAGCCCUCAGCUGUUAACUGAGUUUUGGAGGAUCGAGGCCUCCUCACCUAU